GACGUACGCUGGCGGCGUGCUUAACACAUGCCAGUCGAACGGAAAGGCCCUGCUUUUGUGGGGUGCUCGAGUGGCGAACGGGUGAGUAACACGUGAGUAACCUGCCCUUGACUUUGGGAUAACUUCAGGAAACUGGGGCUAAUACCGGAUAGGAGCUCCUGCUGCAUGGUGGGGGUUGGAAAGUUUCGGCGGUUGGGGAUGGACUCGCGGCUUAUCAGCUUGUUGGUGGGGUAGUGGCUUACCAAGGCUUUGACGGGUAGCCGGCCUGAGAGGGUGACCGGCCACAUGGGGACUGAGAUACGGCCCAGACUCCUACGGGAGGCAGCAGUGGGGAAUAUUGCACAAUGGGCGGAAGCCUGAUGCAGCAACGCCGCGUGCGGGAUGACGGCCUUCGGGUUGUAAACCGCUUUCGCCUGUGACGAAGCGUGAGUGACGGUAAUGGGUAAAGAAGCACCGGCUAACUACGU
rnacentral:rRNA from 1 species